rnacentral:rRNA from 1 species
GAUGAACGCUGGCGGCGUGCCUAAUACAUGCAAGUCGAGCGAACGGACGAGAAGCUUGCUUCUCUGAUGUUAGCGGCGGGCGGGUGAGUAACACGUGGAUAACCUACCUAUAAGACUGGGAUAACUUCGGGAAACCGGAGCUAAUACCGGAUAAUAUUUUGAACCGCAUGGUUCAAAAGUGGAAGACGGUCUUGCUGUCACUUAUAGAUGGAUCCGCGCUGCAUUAGCUAGUUGGUAAGGUAACGGCUUACCAAGGCAACGAUGCAUAGCCGACCUGAGAGGGUGAUCGGCCACACUGGAACUGAGACACGGUCCAGACUCCUACGGGAGGCAGCAGUAGGGAAUCUUCCGCAAAGGGCGAAAGCCUGACGGAGCAACGCCGCGUGAGUGAUGAAGGUCUUCGGAUCGUAAAACUCUGUUAUUAGGGAAGAACAUAUGUGUAAGUAACUGUGCACAUCUUGACGGUACCUAAUCAGAAAGCCACGGCUAACUACGUG